AUGUCAAAUUUGCUAUCUUGCUAGCUGUGGUUGGCCCAGAGGGCUGCUACUCCUUCUCUAUUUGGUUGAAAAUGCGGUUAUUACAGAAUUUGACGAUUUGCAGCGGUGCUGUUUUAGGCGUCGUCAAAUUCCGUCACACUGUCUCAUUCUGUAAUGGCAGCAUUUUGAGGCAUUCAUAGAGGUCGCCACGGCCGUCUCGACCAAUCAGAUCUGAUAUGAUGGUGAACUUAAAAAGUCCCUCUCGCUCUCUUUUUAACGAAAUCAGCGUUCAUUGUGGCGAGUAUGAAACACAUUUAUUGACUGCGGCGCCACCAGUGGAAGGGACGCGAAAUUGGGCCACUGGGCCUGGUCCAUUCAACUUCUGCGUGACACAGGUUGUGGGGUCCCGUAAUCUAACUGGUCACUCAUUUCCUAACACGACGUGCGUGUUCGCCCGUGUCCUUGAACUGCCCUGUUCUCUGGAACCAGCAAGGCUGCCUCCUGGAUCUGUGGGUGUCAGUCCUAUCCGCCUCGUUCAACGAAUCGCAUCGCUGUAGCCCAUCCGUCCAACCUUGUGAGCCCCUCAGCGAUGAUCGUCAAAGGCCCGAGCGUGCUGGAGGAAACAGGGACGGGAGCAAUGGCAAGCAACGAGGCUACAGGGACAGCCGACGAGGCUACAGGGACAGCCGACGAGGCUACAGGGACAGCCGACGAGGCUACAGGGCCAGCCACCAGCGUAGAAUUGGCUGCCACCAGGGCCGCUCUGGCUGCCACUAUGACUGCCCUGAUAGCCAAAGAGGCCGCCCUGCGGGAGGCACUACUUUGACUGGAGGAGAGCUGCAGGCGGGUGGUCAUGGAGGCGGUCACGAGGCGGCUUCACCGCUCAGGUGGAUGAGGUGGAAGCAAGUUCCAUUUCUCCCUCUCAGGGCCGAAACACAUUCAAGAAUAAAAUCUAUCCAAUAAAAA